rnacentral:snRNA from 1 species
GUGUUACUUCGGUAGCACAUAUACUAAAAUUGGAACAGAGAAGACUAGCAUGGCCCUGCACAAGGAUGACACGCAAAUUCCUCAUUUUCUUUAAAAGUAA